rnacentral:rRNA from 1 species
CUCGGAACCGCAUUUGAAACUGGUGAACUAGAGUGCUGUAGAGGGGGGUAGAAUUUCAGGUGUAGCGGUGAAAUGCGUAGAGAUCUGAAGGAAUACCAGUGGCGAAGGCGGCCCCCUGGACAGACACUGACACUCAGAUGCGAAAGCGUGGGGAGCAAACAGGAUUAGAUACCCUGGUAGUCCACGCCGUAAACGAUGUCUACUUGGAGGUUGUGGCCUUGAGCCGUGGCUUUCGGAGCUAACGCGUUAAGUAGACCGCCUGGGGAGUACGGUCGCAAGAUUAAAACUCAAAUGAAUUGACGGGGGCCCGCACAAGCGGUGGAGCAUGUGGUUUAAUUCGAUGCAACGCGAAGAACCUUACCUACUCUUGACAUCCA